rnacentral:rRNA from 1 species
GUUGAACGCUGGCGGCAGGCCUAACACAUGCAAGUCGAAUGGUAACAGGAAACAGCUUGCUGUUUCGCUGACGAGUGGCGGACGGGUGAGUAAUGUCUGGGAAACUGCCUGAUGUAGGGGGAUAACUACUGGAAACGGUAGCUAAUACCGCAUAACGUCGCAAGACCAAAGAGGGGGACCUUCGGGCCUCUUGCCAUCAGAUGUGCCCAGAUGGGAUUAGCUAGUAGGUGGGGUAACGGCUCACCUAGGCGACGAUCCCUAGCUGGUCUGAGAGGAUGACCAGCCACACUGGAACUGAGACACGGUCCAGACUCCUACGGGAGGCAGCAGUGGGGAAUAUUGCACAAUGGGCGCAAGCCUGAUGCAGCCAUGCCGCGUGUAUGAAGAAGGCCUUCGGGUUGUAAAGUACUUUCAGCGGGGAGGAAGGGAGUAAAGUUAAUACCUUUGCUCAUUGACGUUACCCGCAGAAGAAGCACCGGCUAACUCCGUG